rnacentral:misc_RNA from 1 species
GAUGAAGAACGAAGCGAAAUGCGAUACUUGGUGUGAAUUGCAGAAUCCCGUGAACCAUCGAGUCUUUGAACGCAAGUUGCGCCUCAAGCCAUUAGGUUGAGGGCACGUCUGCCUGGGCGUCACAUAUCGUUGCCUGAUGCCAGUUUCCUCGUGAUGGGUGACUGUGCAGGGCGAAUGAUGGCUUCCCGUGAGCAUUGUUGCCUCAUGGUUGGUUGAAAAUUGAGUCCUUGGUAGGGAGCGCCGUGAUAGAUGGUGGUUGAGUGACGAACGAGACCCAAUCAUGUGAGACCCCUACCGAAUUUGGCCUUCAUGACCCACAUGCGUCUUUGGAACGCUCAUGACGAGACCUCAGGUCAGGCGGGGCUACCCGCUGAGUUUAAGCAUAUCAAUAAGCGGAGGA